rnacentral:rRNA from 1 species
AUUGAACGCUGGCGGCAUGCCUUACACAUGCAAGUCGAACGGCAGCACGGACUUCGGUCUGGUGGCGAGUGGCGAACGGGUGAGUAAUGUAUCGGAACGUACCUUUCAGUGGGGGAUAACGUAGCGAAAGUUACGCUAAUACCGCAUAUUCUGUGAGCAGGAAAGCAGGGGAUCGAAAGACCUUGCGCUGAUUGAGCGGCCGAUAUCAGAUUAGCUAGUUGGUGGGGUAAAGGCCUACCAAGGCGACGAUCUGUAGCGGGUCUGAGAGGAUGAUCCGCCACACUGGAACUGAGACACGGUCCAGACUCCUACGGGAGGCAGCAGUGGGGAAUUUUGGACAAUGGGGGCAACCCUGAUCCAGCCAUGCCGCGUGAGUGAAGAAGGCCUUCGGGCUGUAAAGCUCUUUCGGCCGGGAAGAAAUCGCAUAGGCUAAUACCCUGUGUGGAUGACGGUACCGGAAGAAGAAGCACCGGCUAACUACGUG